UACAAGCAGUGGGAGCAGACUUGUUCUGUGACUGCGUACCUUUUGUAUAAUGGGUCAGCGACUUACUUCUCAGUAGCAAGGUUAACCAUUAGGGGAGCCGUAGGGAAACCGAGUCUUAAAUGGGCGAUUAGUUGCUGGGAGUAGACCCGAAACCGGGUGAUCUAUCCAUGGCCAGGGUGAAGGUUAGGUAAAACUAACUGGAGGCCCGAACCCACUUAUGUUGAAAAAUGAGGGGAUGAGCUGUGGAUAGGGGUGAAAGGCCAAACAAACCCGGAGAUAGCUGGUUCUCUCCGAAAUCUAUUUAGGUAGAGCGUCAUGUAUUACUUCUGGGGGUAGAGCACUGUUAUGGCUAGCGGGUCGUCAAGACUUAGUAAACCAUUGCAAACUCCGAAUACCAGAAAGUAUAAGCAUGGCAGACACACUGCGGGUGCUAACGUCCGUAGUGGAAAGGGAAACAACCCAGACCGUCAGCUAAGGUCCCAAAAUUAUAGUUAAGUGGGAAACGAUGUGAAAAGGCCCAGACAGCCAGGAGGUUGGCUUAGAAGCAGCCAUUCCUUUAAAGAGUGCGUAAUAGCUCACUGGUCGAGUCGGUUUGCGCGGAAGAUUUAACGGGGCUAAACUAUAUACCGAAGCUGCGGAUCGCAAUUUAUUGCGAUGGUAGGAGAGCGUUCUGUAAGCCGUUGAAGGUGAACUGAGAGGUUUGCUGGAGGUAUCAGAAGUGCGAAUGCUGACAUGAGUAACGAUAAAGGGGGUGAAAAACCCCCUCGCCAGAAGUCCAAGGUUUCCUACGCAACGUUAAUCGGCGUAGGGUUAGUCGGCCCCUAAGGCGAGGCAGAAAUGCGUAGUCGAUGGGAAACGGGUUAAUAUUCCCGUACUUCAUAUAACUGCGAUGGGAAGACGGAGAAGGUUAGCUCAGCAAGGCGAUGGUUGUCCUUGUUCAAGCGUGUAGAAAUGGUUCUUAGGUAAAUCCGGGAACCUCUAUUUCAAGGCGUGAUAACGAUCCCUCUUUUGGGAGAAGUGAGUGAUACCAUGCUUCCAGGAAAAUCCUCUAAGCUUCAGGUUAUAUGAAACCGUACCCCAAACCGACACAGGUGGACGAGAUGAGAAUUCUAAGGCGCUUGAGAGAACUCGGGUGAAGGAACUAGGCAAAAUGACACCGUAACUUCGGGAGAAGGUGUGCUCUUUGUAUGUGAAAUCACUUGCUGAUAGAGCGGAAGAGAGUUGAAAAUACUAGGUGGCUGCGACUGUUUAUUAAAAACACAGCACUCUGCAAACACGUAAGUGGACGUAUAGGGUGUGACGCCUGCCCGGUGCUUGAAGGUUAAUUGAUGAGGUUAGCGCUUGCGCGAAGCUUUUGAUCGAAGCCCAAGUAAACGGCGGCCGUAACUAUAACGGUCCUAAGGUAGCGAAAUUCCUUGUCGGGUAAGUUCCGACCUGCACGAAUGGCG
rnacentral:rRNA from 1 species